UACGAAGCGUUGAGAGAAAAAAGUAAUGAUUUAUGGCUAGCAUAGCGAGUCUGGGAGAGUGAGAGCCAGAACUAGAGGAAAUUGUGAAAGGCAUUCUUGAGCUUGUUCAAUGAAGAUGCUAGCGAUUGUGCUAGAAUUAGGGUGGAACCGCGAUGUUAAAUCGUCCCUAUG
rnacentral:misc_RNA from 1 species